GGCGCCGUAGCUCAGGUGGUUAGAGCGCCUGUCUAGUAAACAGGAGGUCGAGGGUUCAAAUCCCUCCGGUGCCU